CCCGCCGCCGGAGCAACAAGUCUGGGUGUCCUCGAGGCGGGACCCAGGAGCCCCGAGGGCAGCGCGUGCGCCUUGCUUCUCCUUCGCUCAGGAUCGGGGCCAGGAAUGUCCUGAGGAGGAGUAUCUGUGCGUUCUUAGAGCAAGGAGCGGACGCGGUUGUGUGGACCGUACAUGCUGAAGGAACCAUUAUGGUUCUAUUGACACGAACAUGUAGAGGGACUUGACACAUCCAAGUAGUGUAGGAAUAGCUCCCCCCCUCCCCCGAAUCUAUAUCAGAAAAGCACUGGAAGCCAGGGGGUAGUCUUUCGGUGUGUAGAUUUUGUGUUCUCCUCUUGGGUCGUCUUUACAUCACAGUUUGAAACGACCACAUUUUAUAGGAAUCACAAAUUAUACAGGAAAUGCAUAGGCCACGUGGAGCUGAAAUGAGAGUUUCACAGUCCUCAUUCCCGAUGUUUCAUUUUUCUCUUGGUCUCUUCUUAAAACUACUUUUAAGUGCUUACUACCUACUUUUCUUGGCGAAAGGUGUUCUUCAGACUUUAUCCGGAAAGGAGUUGUGCCCAGGCUCCCUGGAGAUCAGAUAUAGAGUCAAAACUACAUUGCCUGCUUCAAAAUCCAUGGGGCUGAGUAUAGGUCACUGAACACAAAAUGGCCUUUCCUCUCUUGCUUACUGAGAUGGUUUAAUGGAUUUUGUAAUGGUAUCAGACUGGGGAAACCUGGUCUCGGGGCUUUGUGUUCACCUAAACCAAACACAACGCACUGUGUUAAAUUCCUUGCCUUAUCAAUGUAAAUCUGUAACAAUGGAGUGGAAUUUCUUAGGGCAAUUCUGAAACGUCAUGUUUUGAUACACAUGUUUCAAACAUGGUUCCUGAGUCUAAAUGUGAAAAGUCCUCAGAAUUUUCCAUUUAGUUGAUUCUGGGCUUGAAAGAUUUCUGAAAAUCCUUUGAAUAGUAUUCUACAUACAUGUGCCACAAAACUAUGAUAUUUAAUUUUCAGUUUUUACUAUUAGUCCUUCCCCUCCCCUUUUAAAUCAGGGGGUUUUGUGUGGAAGGAGUGAGUUAUGGUUGAUUUCAGCUUUCAGGGGAGUAGAGGAGGGGUGAAUGGCAACAUUUUAAAGAAUUCACAAACCAAGUAAGGUUAAAUAGCUGAUUAAAGCAAAGAUUUUUUUGUGUUAUAAGGGGACCUAGUUUUUGUCUUUGCAGACACAGCUCCUUCAAAGUCCCUGAACUUUUCCACCCACUGUGUGCCCCGUGAAUGUCAGCUCAUAUCUGAAGUUUCAGUUGCCUUUUUUUUACACCUGUUUUUUGAUGCUGUUUGCAAAUCUAAUUUCUUUUGAAUAAAAUUAUUUCACAGUUUUUAUUUUUCGUGCUCAUACUUAGUUUUUCUCCCUAGCUCUUAUUUUAAAAUUCUCUUUCAAAGACUUUUACUUCAUCAAAUUACUUAUUACUUAAAUGGCAUUACUCAUAGUGGUAACCGACACCAUGAGGUAUCAUGGCCGACUUUGGUAAACGACGUCUAGUCCUAGUUUAGUUAAAAUAAUAAUUUUUUUGUACUUGACUCUUGCAUCAAGAAGAAUUUACCUUUGUUAAAUAUCUCAAUUUAAAUAUUGGAGCAUAAGUGGGGUAGCAACCAGAUGCAAUAAUCAGAAUAUAGGCGAGUUCUUGAAAACUCUAAGUGUUAUACAGAAAAUUAUGAUGAUGGUUAAUUGAUUUAUUCAUUGAUUUGUUCAUUUAAAAAAUAUUUAUUGAAUGCCUACUAUGUGCAUGUUAGAGCUGUUGGUAUAAACAAGAGAAGCUGCCUUAAACCAACUGAGUAUUUAGAAAAGAAUUUUCAUGGAAGAAACCAGGUAGCUCACAGAAGCAACAGAAAUGCAAGAGGUACAAGCUUGGAAAACACGUAAGAACCAGGGGAGAAUAGGAGCUAGAGCAGGGUCAAGGUCACUCCAUGCAACAGACAGCCUCUGCUGGUGCUGCUGUCUCUGCUGCUGCAGCCAGAGUAACUUCUCUGCUAUCCCUGUAUUUUUACGUUGCCUCUACAAGAACCAGCUGGAUGCCUCCCUAACUAUGAGAAGGUGAGAAGAGGGUCAUUGCAUUCUACUUACACUGCAUACUGUAGGGAGUUUCUUUAAAAUAAGAAUGAUAUUUGGAUCAAGGGCAGUAAAAAACCCCCAGAAAACAAACAAAAGCACCCAGAAAUAUGUUACCACAUAGGUGCUGGGGAUAGAACAAUAAACAAGUUAUAUAUGGACCCUACCCUCAUGAAUCCUGUAUUUUAGUGGAAUAUUUUAUUUCAUAUUUUAAAAUAUUCAUAUUUAUAAUACUUACUAUUAAAUAAUUUUUAAAAUACAUUUAAAAUAUUUAUACUUUAAAAUGUUUUAUACUUGCAUGAAUUUUUAUAUUCUUUGUAUAAAAGAGGGGAAAAAACAGUUAUUCAGAUACCAUCUCAAAGUAAUGGGCUAACUUUCCUAAUUUUCUUCUUUUUUUUUUUUUUUUUUUAAUAGAGAGCGCUGAGUGGGAGAGAGAGGGGCAGAGGGACAGAAAGAGAGAGAGAAUCUUGAAUGGAAGCCAAAAUAACUUUGAGAGAGCAAGAAUCUUAAGCAGUCUCCACGCUCAGUGUGGAACUUGACACGGGGUUUGACUAGGGGCUGGAUCCUAUGACUCUGGGCUCAUGACCUAAGCUGACAUUAAGAGUCGGUUGCUCAACCAACUGAGUCAUCAAGGCGCCCCUAUUUUUUUUGUUGUUGUUGUCUUUUGGGUAUGGUUGGAUGUUGGUCAGAAGGCACAAGUCAGAAAUUACUGAUGUAGGAGGUGCUGUGUCAGGUCCAUCACCCUCAGUCUCAAGGUCAAGAGUGUGGUAGAAACAAGUUCUGGAACUGGAGAAAGGGCCCUGUAUUUAGGUCCCAGUCCUAUUCUUGUCUCCUGUGUGAUUGUGGUCUACAUUCUGUAGAUGCUCUCUGAGGUCCUCUCCAUGCUUCCAGUCUGAUUUAAUAUAGAUCCCCUUUUAUCAAAAUGGGGUCUUUAUGGUGAUUGCCUUAAUUUUCUGAGGGCUUUCUUUUAGCUAUUCUAAAAUUAGUUAUGGAGCUUACAGCCUUAAAAAGCUAUUUCUGAUGGGAUACAUUUGUAAUGAUUAACUUCAUAUUCCAAAAAGCUUUUAGGAUUUUCAUUUUCAUAAAUGAAUUUUCUUUUAUUUCUAAUUACAAGUGAUUUAGUUCAGUGAAUGGGCUUGUUGCUUUCGGUUUCAGAUUACAUUCUGGGUUUUUCCUAUCUGUAACUAAUUUUCAGACCAAGAAAGGCAGAAGGAGUAGAAGACAAAGUGAGAGAACAGAAACUGUCAUGAUUUAAAGUAAUUGGGGAGUCUAGAAUUGCUUCAGAGAUAUGUUUUUUAAAAAUAUAUAUUUACUACCGAUUGUUGACAGGUAUUGCUUUUGAAGAGAAUUUUAAGUUUUAUGUGGACAAAAUUACUUGACGGAGCAAAAUCCUUGUUUAAACCCUAUUUCUUCAAGGUGGAACCAUGGUGAUAUUUACUAUAUCAUCAAAGCGUCCUGACUGGAAAGAUGUGGGAACAGUUUCAAGGGUCAUGUUUAACAUUAGGUUUGUUACACAAUAUAAGCAAACAGUGGCAACCCUGGAUAUUUUGUAUUCUUGGUAUUCUGAAAAAAAAAAAAACUGGGUGUCAAGCAAAUGAACCCAUAUUAAACCAGGGUCAGUUGCUUUGUACAUGAGCCCUAUGUAUGACCUAUCUUAUUUUAUUUUAAGUUUUUUAGAGUAACCUCUACACCCAAUGUGGGGCUUGAUCUCACAACCCAAAGAUCAAGAGUGUCAUGCUCUAUCGACUCACUGACUGAGCCAGGCAGACACCCUUGUAUGACCCAUUUUAAAAAUGAAUAAUCCCUUGGCAAAUCAGUCAUUUAAAAACAUAUGUACUAAAAAUAUUGAUUUUUGCAUUUUGGGGUUGCUGACAGUAGUGGGUGUUUGGGGUGGGGUAGGUGGAGCCAAGUUGGCAGCAUGAGGAGUCAUAUCUAUAGGAGUUUAUUGAUCCAUAACGGGGUAAGAUUUUUUUCCUCUGCUAAUUACCCCUUUCCCUAUGACAUUUCAAAUCCUGCUCAGCCUUUAAUAUUGUGUUUGUAAACUUUCUGGGUGAGAUCCUUAGUAGGAAAUGGAUUUUAUGUUGCAACCCUAGCACAUAUAUAUGCACAUUUCAGGAAUGAGAGACAUCUUUUUCAAUGCCCUAUUGUAGUGAAACCUGUGAAAUUAAUUACUAAAAUGUAGAGCCUGGUGUGAUGGUUCUGAGAUGUGUUAUUUUCUUCUCUGUAUAGCAUUUGUUUUUCUUACUGCUCAUUCCGUACCUGUCAGGUAAACCUUGGUAUUAUUAUUUAUGUAUGAAGUUUAUUGCCUGUUUUAGAUGUUAAGCACUUGAGGAUGCCAUCUAGGAGGGAAGUCUCCAGUGGCAUGCCACAGGGCUCUUGAUCCUAUCUUGUUCAAUAUUUUUAUUAAAGUCUUUACUGAAGGUGUCAAAUUUGUAGGUGACACAAAGCUGUCAGCCGUAGCUAAUAUACUGAAAGGUGCAGUCGAGAUUCAAAGUGAAAUGUAAAUGUUGGAAUGAAAACCAGCAUGAUGUAACUUAACAAAGACCAGUACAAAAGCCCUUUACUGAGACUGACAAAUAUAAAUCAAGGGAGGUUCUUGGAUUGUGACAGCAGUGCAGUGUGAAAAGAUGGGGAGAUUAAUUUACUAUAAAUGCAAAACAAUCCAAAAGUAUUAUGUUGCAUGCACGCGCGCACACACACACACACACACACACACGUAAUCGUAGGAUGUGUUACUAAAAACAUGAUAUAUAGCUUACAAGGAAGAUAACAGGUCCCCUGCAUUCUGGGCUGGAGAUUUAUCUAGCUCUAGCUGCCUUGCUUUAUUUUACACAUUGAUAAGUUAGAGAUUAGUAUGGGCUCUCAGGAUGUGAGGGAAGAGGAAACUAUACUUUAUGUGGAAGAGUUAGGGCAAAUGUUUAGCCUAGAGAAGAGGCAAAUGAUGUGGUAUGUGAUUGCCACUUCAAAUAUUUGCCUAGCUGUCACAUGGCAGACAGGGUAGAGAAGUUUUUCCUGCUCCCUGCGGCAGUGUUAGGACUAAAGGGUAAAAGUGACAGAAGAUCUGACUUUGAUCCUAAUAAUUAAGGUUUUCCAAGAAUGCAGGGAGUUGCCACAUGAAGGAGUAAAUUCUUCACCCAUAGGAGUAUUUUGCAAAGGCUGAGUGACUGUCUGGCUCGAAUGCUUAUUAGUAAGCAGCAGCUGAAUUAGGUGGCAGAUUGAAAUAGAUGAUCUCUCCGGUUGAAUUCAAGAAUUUGCUGAGUUGAAUGCUAAAAAAAAUUUUUGAAAGUGAUUUUAUAUAGAUUUAAAGAGAGAGAGUGUUACUGCUAUUCAAGCUUGUACGAUUUUCUAUCGUAAGGCACUAUAAGUCCAUUUACCCUUUCAUGAAAAAUACAACUUUGUUUCUUAUCUGCAUUUUUAAAAUCCAAAGAAAAGCUUUGAAAACCAAAAGUGUCUUUUUAACAUUCUUAUUUUUUAAUGUUUUUUUUAAAUGUUUAUUUAUUUUUGAGAGAGAGGGAAAGAGAGAGAGGAGGGAGGGACAGAGAGAGAGAGAGAGAGAGAGAGAGAGAGAGAAAGAGACAGAAGGUCUGAAGCAGGCUCUGGGCUGGCAGCAGAGAGCCAGAUGUGGGGCUUGAAUUCACGAACUGUGAGAUCAUGAGCUAAGCCGGAAGUCGGUCGUUUAACCAACUGGGUCACCCAAAUGCCCCCCAAAAGUGCUUUGACUCUUAUGUUGAAAUCACCUUAACUAAAUGGAUAUGAGAUUGUUUCAGUGUUUAUUAUACUCAGAAUGAGCAUUCAUUCAUAUCUCUGCAGAAAUAUUUUGUGUUUGAUUACAGGGUACUGACUCAGACCCUGCUAGUGGUUGUGUAAUAUACGAUUUUUGCCACUAACGUCUUUCAAAUAUCUGAAAAAUUUUCAAUUCUAAAUCUAUCUCCAAAGAAUUUGGGUAAGGGAUUGUUAUUAUUAGCUAUCCUACAAUUAGAUCUUGUUUCCUCAGGGUAACUUGAAUCCAUUGGCCAGAAAUCUACUUAAGCUCUAUUACUUCCCCAUGCUAGCAUGAUUCUCAAGAACUAUUAUCUGAUCUCUAAAACUUGUCACAUGAGGAUUUUGCUCUACGAGCCAAAUUUAUACUCUAUAGGGAAACAAUUAAGUUGAUCUGCCAUUUCCAUAUUUAUUUUAUGAAGAGGUUGGUGGCAGAAAUUUUCAAUGUCAGGGGUCUCCUCCCAAAGCAUAUUUGGUAUUACUUUAGUCUGGCACUGGGUGACAAUAUCACACUUUUCUGGUCUAGGUGGACGAUAUAGUAGGAUAAGUUAAUGGCUUUCAUUUUACAAAUCUUUUCUAUAACUAUUACUCAUUCUGUAGACAUUAAUGGGACACCUACUCCCAUCUAACCCUCGCUAGUCAACACUGUUACAAAGAUGAAAGAGAUCAAGAUCGCAGCCUUAAUAUGCUCACACACUCAUUCGAUCCUCAAAACAAAUCUGCUAGAUAAGCAGGGCAGAUAUUGUUGCACUCAUGUUAAAGAUGAAAAAAUGGGAGUCUCAGGGAAGUUAAAUGACUUGCUUAGGGUCACACGUCUAAUAAGUGCUAGAGCAGGACUUGAACGCAAGGCUUUUGUUCAGAGUCUACUUACUUUUCCACACACAAUGAGAAUCUGUUGUUUGUGAUACAAAAUGUAUUUUCUCCUCACCCAACCCUUAGGCUGCUCAGAAUUUGUAGCCACUUCCGGUGUUUGGAAAAUGCAUUGUGAAAUGAGUUUUUAUGAAGGUGGGUCUCCACUUCUUACUAUGAAAGCCAACAUGCCAACUCUCCCUUUUGUCAGCUUGUGGCAGUUGGGACUCAGGAAAAUCAACUAAGCUCAGCCAAGUAAAUACACUUCUCUGGAGGGAAGACACCAAAGACCAAAAAAAAUGGAGACAGCCUAGAAUAAGUCCAGGUGAAGCUGGGGUGGCAGCAGCAGCUUAUCAAUCAGGCUGGUUCUUUGGCUAUGAUUCCUUAUAUUUAAACUUCACUGAUUUCAGACCGUUUUCUAGAGUUGGCAUCCUCUUUGUUCUAUUCUGUGAGCCAUCUGAUUUCCUUUCACUAAAUUUGUCGGCAAAUUUAGCCCGAGUCAGUUUCUGUUGUUUCCAAGCAAGAGCUUUGACCAGAAGAGAUCCGUUUUGUAGAUGCGGUGAUGGACAUUGGUCCUAUUUUGUACGUAUUUUGAAAAGAGACUUGACAGGAUUCGUUGAGGGACUGGAUAUGGAAUGUGAGAGAGAGGAGUCAAGGGUGACUUCACAAGUUUUGGUCUGAGUUAUUGAAAGAAUAAGCCUGCCAUCAGUGUCAGCUCUUUAUUAACUACAAACCACCCCUAAAAUAGCAGACUAAACCAACUACCAUGUUGUUAUCUUUUAAACAUUUUAUUGGUUUGGGCUUUUUACAGUAUAAUGGCUGUGCGUUUUGAAAGGGGGAGCUUCCUGAGAGUGAACAUUUCAGAACCAGAAGGGAGCUGCAUGAGCUUUUCUGACUGAGCCUCAGAACUCACAUAGUGUCACUUCCACCAUAUUCUGUGGCUAGAAUUAUGCACAGGCUCAUCCAGGUUAAAAGAGAUGGGGACAAUGAGGUGUCAAAGAACUUGAAGCCAUGAUUUAAAACUGUCAUGCCAUUUGCUAGGGAGUUAGUUCUAAGAAAGCUUUCUUUCUUUUUCUUAGAAGCUCUUAGGGAAAGACAGGGAGAGGAACAAGCUGAGGCGGGGAGAUCAUGUGUUCAAAUAUUGUAAGUAGAGAUGUCUAUUAGGUGUUCAAGAGGAGAUAUUUGAUAGGUUAAUUGGAUAAGUCAGGAGUUCAGGUAAAAAAAAUUGAGGCUAAAGUUAUAAAUUUAAGAGUUGUAUAUAUAAAAAUGGUUUGUCCAGUCAUGAGACUGGUUGAGAAAGAUCGUCUAGAGAUGUAGCUUUAUAAUGUUUUGAAACCAGGGAGUGUAACGCCGCUAGCUUUGUUGUUCUUGCUCAAAAUUGCUUUGGUCGUUCAGGGUCUUUUGUGGUUCUAAAUGAAUUUUAGGAUUAUUAUCAUCAUUAUUAUUAUUUUUGAGAGAGAGAGAACGAGAGAGAGAGAGAGAGAGAAAGCAGGAGGGGCAGAGAGAGAGGGAGACAAAAAAUCCGAAGCAGGCUUCAGGCUCUGAGCUAUCAGCACAGAGCCCAAUGUGGGGCUUGAACCCAUGAACCAUGCGAUCAUGACCUGAGUUGAAGUCAGAUGCUUAACCUACUGAGUCACCCAGGUGCCCGUUUUCUAUUUCAGUAAAAAAUGCCAUUGGGAUUUUGAUGAGAAUUGUGUUGAAUCUAUAGAUCACUUUGGAUGUCUGGUAAUAUGUUGAACAGGAGAAAUGAGAGUGGGCAUCCUUGCCUUGUUCUGGAUCUCAGAGAGAAAGCUUUCAACUUUUCAUUGCUGAGUAUGAGCUUUUUAUAAGUGGAUUUUAUUGUAUUGAGAAUAAGAAAAGAAAAGAAAAAGAAAAAACAAUUGAAUAGAUGGACCAGCGGACCGACUGAACUAUGAUUGAAAUUACAUUGGUUUCCCCUGGAAGUCAAACUAUGAAGCCUUUUAUAGUUCAUAAACUAAGCAGGCAGAGGGACUUGUGUUCCUCCUCAAGAGCGCGGUUGGUCCAGUUGGGCAGGGUUUAGUGUAACAGCUCCGGUCUCUACUAGAUGGCGCUGCUUACCUUACUGAGUGCAACCACUGAAGACCUCGUGAAGAAAGCAGUAUGCUGGAAAGACACAUAAAAUCCACCAUCGAGACUUCAGCACUAAAGCUCCCAUUGUAUUGUUCCAGUACAGAGCAGCAGAUGUGCAAACCGAGGUGCAAAGGGACCUAAUGAUGUCUCAAGGUUACCUGGAAAAUGAGUAACACUGAUUGAGAACUCACAAUGCUCUUUCUUCCCUGGAAGGAAAGAUGAGAAACAAGGUACCAGGUGAACAGAAAAGGACCCCCUCUUCAUGUGGACUUGACCGCCUCAUCACCCUCCAAGAGGAGGAGGAAACACUCAUUCUUGGAACCUUCAACCUCCCUGCGAGAAGUCUGAGGAGGUGGAGAUCACCACGCUGGAAAGGCCACAGGUCAACAUGCUGCUCUCUAGUCCCAACUAAGCCCAUCCCCGAGCCACACCAGCUCAGCCACCUCAUGGAUGGGCCCCGCAGCCCCAGCUCUUUCAGUCACGGAAGUCACGCCAGCUGAGAGCCUCACAUCAUGGUGCCGACAGCCUCCUGUCCCACAGAAUCUGCGAGCAUGAUCCAUGGCGGUGGUUUUGUGCCACUAAGUUUGGAGGUGUUUGCUUAUGCAGUAAAAGAGGCACGUGCAGGGGUGUGCACGUGAGUCACCUGCGGGUCUCGCUGAAACACAGACUCUCGGUCAGCAGAUCGCAGUGGGGUCCGAUGAGGUCCUGCCUUGUUAUCCAGCUCCCAGGUGAGGCUGAUGCUGCUGGUUCCAGACCACACGUUGAGCAGCGAGGAAUUUGCGAACCUUCGGGAUCCAGUGCACCAGAGCCAAAUGGCCCCGGAGGCCCCGUGGAGGCUGUUUUCGCUGAAGCAGGGUGGUUCCAGUUCUGAGGAAAGCUUCUCAUCACCCCUGGUUAGCCCUGCAGCAACUCUGACCACCUCCCUCUCUCCCUCUCCCCUACCCCAACAAAACAGGAUGAAUGAGACCUUGGGUGCUUGGCCCUGUUUCUCUAGCACCCUGCAGUGGGGAAGCAGCUUUCUCCCAUGUGCCCAUCCAAGGUUUCCCUUCCAGCCUGUCCCCUCCUGCCAUCUCUCCCCAGAGCUGACUUUCCCACCUUGAGUAGUUCCUACCUGCCUUGUGUGAGAGGAAGAAAUGCUGCCUGUGGUUCACACCUCACCCCUCACCACCGUCACCCCUAGGCCGGGGACUAUGGCCCUGGACUGAUGUCAUUAUCUCCUAAGAAGUUCAUUUCCCGGAGGCUUCUUCUGCUUCCACCAGGGAAACCUUUCUGGAGAGAAGGCAU